rnacentral:tRNA from 3 species
GCCCGCAUAGCUCAGUGGCAGAGCACUUUCUUGGUAAGAAAGAGGUCAGCAGUUCAAAUCUGCUUGUGGGCUCCA